AUGACGACAGUGGGCAACAUGCCGGAGCUGCCUCAGGACGUCUUGAUGGGCAUCUUUGCCACCCUUGAGAUCCCCGACCUUGUGCGUGCCGGCUCAGUCUGCCCCUGGUGGCACUCCGCGUAUACCAGCCUCCGAAGCCUUGGGCAGUACAAACGCCCCCAGACGCCAUGCCUCCUCUACAAUUCCGAAUCCGCUGGCGAGAGCGUUGCGUGCCUCUACAGCCUCACAGACAAGAGAUCUGAGAUGCACCUUGUCAACCCCAUCACAUGUCAACAGAUCGCUCUUCCGUCGGUGAUCACCAUCGAGCAGGUGAAGCCCAUCUUUGAUGAGCACGGUGCUGUCCAUAAGUAUGAGUACUCAUGGCAUACUGGGACGGAUGCCGGUCCUUACUCUCCGUCUAUCUUUGCUAUUGACGAGCUGCGCCACAAACUUCACUAUAAGGCGUUUGUGUUCCCUGAUACAUCCACGGGAAGCUACAUCGUCGUGCUCAUCCAUAAUCCAAAGCGUCAGCUCUCAUUUGCAAGAGUAGGUGAUGAUAACUGGACUUGGCUGCCACCUCAUGAACGAUAUAGCGACUGCACUUACAAGGAUGGCCUGUUGUAUGCAGUGACUACAACCGGACAACUUCAUGCUUUUGAUUUCAGUGGGCCUGUCAUCACAAUGGAGAUGAUUAUAAGAAUGGACUCUGUAUAUGGCAUUGGCUACACAUACGUUGUUCAAGCUCCAUCCGGCGGUCUGCUUCUUAUUUGGAGAAUCAUUGACCAGUAUAAUUUCGAUCCUGAUCCUGGAGCAUCUGUGUUUUGGAACACUACGGGAUAUAUAAUGUAUGAAUUUGAUCCUUUGGAAAGUAAACUUAAGAGCAUAAAACGAUUGCCUGACCAUGUGCUGUUUCUUGGACAUAAUCAAUCUAUUUGUCUCACUGCCAAAGAAUAUCCCACUCUCAGGGCAAAUCAUGCCUACUUUACUGACGAUAAUGUGCUGCGGACAAUGGGAUUGAAGAAUAGUGACCCUGAUAUGGGAACAAUGAACUUGGAUAAUUUCUACUCCAUGGAGGAAAUUUUGUCUCCUCAGCUUUGGUCAAGCUGGCCAGCUCCCAUGUGGAUUACACCUGAUCUUAGAAAGAUGAACUUGGCUUCAGGAAGGGAUUGA
rnacentral:rRNA from 1 species